rnacentral:piRNA from 1 species
UAGGACAUCUUUACACUCACAAACAAGA